GGUGAAGAUUUCACUUAAUGACUGGUUUCACCUAACGACAGCAGGGUGCGCCUUGUUUUCUCUUUUCUGAUUGGUCAACACAACUGGGUUCACACCAAAUACGGAAGAUGCGAAUGAGGCAAAUUCUGCAUGUUCAUGGCAAGUGCAUUACGUUUUCUGCGUCGUUCGCACCACGGGAUGAUAAUCGGCCUCUGUUCUCAGUGUUUUGUGUGGAGGCUCCUAACUCUGUGAGCUGAGUGGUGGUCAGUGUUUGCUGUCCACAUCCCACUUCCCCAAGGGCUUUUAAGAGCAGCUGAAGAACACAGGAAGUGCUGGCUGUCCUCGUGCCAGUCCUUAUUAGGAAUGCAUCCAAAAUGAUUUUCUUUUCUGUCUCUCUCUCUUUCGGUUAACUACAAAAUCAAUCAGAAGUGCUCUGUUACAGUCUUUGCUAAAAAAAAAUCUAUUUUGUUUUAGUCCCAUCCAAAACUUGAUAAUGCUGUCAUUCAUCUGGUCUUAAAAGUCCACUUGAAUUUACCAUGCAAGACAUUAAAGGUGCGCUAAGCAAUA